rnacentral:RNase_P_RNA from 1 species
AGUGAGCCGGGCAGCCGCGUGCGCAAGCAUGAGGAAAGUCCGGGCUCCUAAGGGCAAGAUGCCAGCUAACGGCUGGGCGGGGUAACCCGACGGAAAGUGCCACAGAAAAGAAGACUCCCCUGCUUGCAGGAGAAAAGCUGAAACGGUGCGGUAAGAGCGCACCAGUGCGUUGGCAACAACGUAGCUUGGUAAACCCCAUCUGGAGCAAGCGCAAAUAGGAAUGCCAUACGGCCGCCCUUCCGUGCAUUCGGGUUGCGUGCUUGAGCUUUGCGGUGACGCAAAGUCGAGAUAAAUGGUUGCCGAUUACAGAACCCGGCUUAUAGGCUCGCUCU